GACAAGGAAGUGCCGUUAAUAGCGGUGUCCCUGCGUCCCCGUCGCUUCUGGAUGACGUAAACGCGGGAGGGGAGGUACGGAAGGAGGGACAGACUCUCCGGUAUCGUUCUUAGUUGCUCGUUGAGUGUACGGCUUUUAGUUGCUCGGUUUUAUUCAGGAAUACUGUGCCUGUCACUCAACGUAGUUUUACGAUUCCAGCUAAAUGACUUUUGUGCCAGUGAUACCGGAGUCCUACAGCCAUGUACUGGCAGAAUUUGAGUCUCUGGAUCCAUUACUUUCAGCCCUGAGGCUGGACUCCAGUCGUCUAAAGUGCACGAGCAUAGCUGUGUCUCGGAAAUGGCUGGCUUUGGGCAGUUCGGGAGGAGGACUCAAUCUCAUUCAGAAGGAAGGCUGGAAGCACAGGCUUUUUCUUUCACACAGGGAAGGUGCGAUUUCUCAGGUUGCCUGUUGUUUACAUGAUGAUGAUUAUGUUGCUGUAGCUACCAGUCAAGGUCUCGUAGUUAUUUGGGAAUUAAAUCAGGAGCGUCGUGGGAAACCAGAACGAAUUUAUGUGUCUUCAGAACACAAAGGCCGAAAAGUUACAGCUCUCUGUUGGGAUACAGCUAUUCUUAGAGUUUUUGUAGGUGAUCAUUUGGGGAAAGUUUCUGCCAUCAAACUCAACACUUCUAAACAAGUAAAGGCAGCUGCUGCUUUUGUGAUGUUUCCUGUUCAGACAAUAACAACAGUUGACUCCUGUGUUGUCCAGUUAGAUUAUUUGGAUGGAAGACUACUUAUAUCCUCACUUACUCGAUCCUUCUUGUGUGACACUGAGAGAGAAAAAUUUUGGAAAAUCGGAAGCAAGGAAAGAGAUGGAGAAUAUGGAGCUUGUUUCUUCCCUGGAAGAUGUUCUGCAGGCCAGCAACCCCUAAUAUAUUGUGCUCGCCCUGGCUCUAGGAUGUGGGAAGUGAACUUUGAUGGGGAAGUUAUAAGCACACAUCAGUUUAAGAAACUCCUCUCGUCACCACCUCUCCCUGUGAUUACUCUAAGAUCUGAACCUCAGUAUGAUCAUACAGUUGGAUCUUCCCAGUCUUUGUCUUUCCCCAAACUCUUGCACCUUAGUGAGCACUGUGUGCUGACGUGGACAGAAAGAGGAAUUUAUAUUUUCAUUCCUCAGAAUGUUCAAGUUCUUCUUUGGAGUGAAAUCAAAGAUAUUCAGGAUGUGGCCGUCUACAAGAAUGAGCUGUUCUGUUUGCACCUGAAUGGGAAAGUCUCACAUCUUUCUCUGUUAUCUGUGGAACGCUGUGUGGAGCGCCUGCUGAGGAGAGGCCUGUGGAACCUAGCGGCUUGCACCUGCUGUCUUUUCCAAAACUCUAUCAUUGCCAGCAGAGGAAGAAAAUCUUUGACUGUGGAUAAGUUGGAGCAUUUGAAAUCUCAGCUGGACCUCACAACCUAUAGUGAUCUGAUUUCUCAACUGGAAGAAUUGAUCUUAAAAUUCGAACCUUUGGAUUCAGCUUGCAGCAGUAGAAGAAGUUCCAUUUCAUCACAUGAAAGUUUCAGCAUCUUGGACUCCGGUAUUUAUCGUAUCAUUAGUAGUAGAAGAAGCAGUCAGUCAGAUGAAGACUCUUGUUCUCUUCACAGCCAAACUCUCUCAGAAGAUGAGAGACUCAAAGAAUUCACCUCACAUCAAGAAGAGGACCAACCGGAUCACAGUUGGAGCUCACACGGGAAUGAAGGUGAUAAUGACAGUGUUUCUCAUGUUCCCGUGACGUUGGAGACAGAUAAGAAUGAAACAUUCCUUCCCUUCAGCAUUCCAUUACCAUUUCGUUCUCCUUCUCCUCUUGUGUCUCUUCAGGCGGUCAAGGAAAGUGUCUCUAGCUUUGUACGUAAAACUACUGAGAAGAUUGGCACCCUUCAUACAGGCCCUGAUUUGAAAAUAAGACCAGAACCCAGGGGUGAUGAGCAGUUAUGUGAAGAGGAUAUGAGUCCAGUCACUUGCCCAAAAGAAGAAGACACUGAGGAGAAAAAAGAAGUAAUUAGUCAACCUCAAGAAGAGGACAAGUUCCAAGACCUCAAAGUAGCAACAGCAGAAGCAAUGACCAAGCUACAGGACCCACUGGUUUUGUUUGAACCCAAGUCUCUGAGAAUGGUUUUACAGGAGUGGCUUUCGCAGUUAGAAAAAACAUUUGCCAUGAAGGACUUUUCAGGCAUUUCAGAUACUGGUAACUCAUCCAUGGCAUCAAACCAGGAUGUGCUAUUGUUUGAUGAGUCAAAAAAGGGAGUAUUAGAUGAAGAUAAUGAAAAAGAAAAAAGAGACUCUUUAGGCAAUGAAGAAACUGUUGAUCAAAGAACAUGUGAAUCUACAAGUAGUCUGAGGGAGCCCUUGGAUGACCUUUUCCAAGUGUGUUCUCCAUGCAGCAUAGCUAACAGUCUUCAGAAGGAUCUGGCUGAAUUGGCAACGUUGUGUUUGGAAUUGAAUGUAUUGAAUUCUGAGACCAAAAGCACAAGUGGACAUGUGGACCACACUUUGCAACAGUACUCUUCUGAAAUUCUGGCUUGUCAGUUCAUAAAGAAGUACUUUUUUGUCCUGGACUUGAAAAGAGCAAAGGAGAGUAUCAAGCUUAGUUACGCUAAAAGUCCUUGUGUUUGGGAUACUUUUAUUGAAGGAUUGAAAGAAAUGGCAAGUUCCAGUCCUGCGUAUAUGGAGAUAAAGGAAGGAGACCUACCAACAAGAUUAAAGUUAGUGAAUGACUCAGUCCCCUUUGACAGUCCUUUGUUGAUUGCUUAUGCCGCCAGAUUGUAUGAAACGUUUGGAGAAUCUGCUCUUCGGUCCUUAAUCAGGUUUUACCCAUCUAUUUUGCCUUCGGAUGUCAUGCAACUUUGUCAUCAUCAUCCUGCUCAGUUUUUGGCCUAUUUAGACAGUCUGGUGAAAUCAAGGCCUGAAGAUCAACGGCCACCUUUCCUUGAGUCCCUUCUACAACCAGAAUCUUUAAGAUUGGAUUGGCUGCUUUUAGCAGUGAGCCACGAUGCUCCCCCAAGCACAAGCACUAUGGAUGAUGAAGGAAACCCCAGGCCCCAUUCACACUUGCUUUCCUGGGGUUACAAUCAGCUGCUGCUCCAUCUCAUUAAACUCCCUGCAGAUUUUACAACCAAAGAGAAAAUGGCUGACAUUUGUAGGUCUCAUGGUUUCUGGCCUGGGUAUCUUACUCUUUGUUUGGAGCUGGAGAGAAGAAGAGAGGCCUUCACCAACAUUGUGUGUCUUAACGAUAUGAGCCUGAUGGAAGGGGACAAUGGUUGGAUCCCAGAGACUGUGGAGGAAUGGAAGCUUCUCCUACAUCUCGUACAGAACAAGAGUACAAAGCCAGCCCCCCAGAAGUCACAGAAUGGGAACUUCAGUGAUGGGGCUUCCCCCAUCAAUGUGGAAAAUGUGGCACUUCUGUUAGCUAAGGCCAUGGGCCCAGAUCAGGCCUGGUCAUUGCUACAGGAAUGUGGUUUGACCCUUGAGCUGUCACAGAGGUUUACUAGAACCUGCGAUAUCCUAAGGAUUGCGGAGAAAAGACAGAGAGCCUUGAUACAAAGCAUGCUUGAAAAAUGUGAUCGGUUUCUCUGGUCUCAGCAGGCCUAGUGGAAGAAGAUUCAUCACAAUGUCAUAAUAUUUUGAGAAAAAUUGAGUCAUGCUCCUGAGCCUCCUGAACACAUUUGCUGUGGAAGGAAAGUCGUCCCCUAGGAGCCCUGAAACCCGCUGUCCGGAAAGUUUCCAAAGAGGCCUUUGGGGAUUUCGUGACCGUGUACCCAUCUGUAAAAUGAGGAUUGUGGGACAUUGCACACAUCUUUGCAGAACGCCUGCUCUACCCAUCCGUGAACUCCCACAGAGAAACUACACGACCAAAUCCCAAUCCCAGAAAGUAUGCCCGUCUGGAGAAUUCAAAUUGCCAGGAGAGUAGAUUCAGGGAGGAAGCAGAGAGUGAGGACACAGCCCAAGAACGCCUUCGGGUAAGAGAAUCUGCAAAGAAGGAAAGUGUAGGCAAGUCUAGCACCUCACCUUCGGCUGUCCCUUCCUGCCGAGGCUCCUGGUGAGGCUGAGCUGCCCGUGUCUCCUGCCUGCGAGGGGGGCUGGCAUUAUAUAUACUGACACUCUGCUAGGGGAGUGGGUGGGAAAGCAGGUGUGAAGCAAAAACACUGAGAUUUGGGAAAUUCCUUUUGGCCAGCACACAGCAUCCAGAACAUCAGGCUCCUUCUUCACGCCCGUCUACUUUCCAAGGUUGUGCAAUCUGGCAGCUUUGAGGCGUGUAGCAAACUUGGAAAUUUCUGCCUGUUUCCAGUGUCACUCCUGGUAAGAAAGGUUUUCUUCCCCACACAAUAGUGUAUUGAGAAAUGCUGGGCAGGGUAAUCAAAGUUAGAAAGGAGAAUCGAUUGCCUGAAGAAUGAGAGACAAAGGGCAAAUGGGGGAGCAGCAGGGGCUCCAUUAAAGGGGUGGCUCAAGAUAAAGCUGGGACCCCAGGGAGCAGAAGUUGGAGAGGAAAGACAGACAACCAGGAAAAUGGAGCUUCCAGCACCCAGUGGGUGGACUCGACCCUGAUCAGUUGCUAUGGAAGCUCCCAAUGGCACGUUACAACUGAGGAACUGCAGUGUAGAAAUGUGAUAACAGUGUCACAUGGGAAGGACGCAUUAAAAAUGGUCAGGAAAAGGGCAUCUGGAUGACUGUGUCUGUUAAGCAUCUGACUCCUGACUUUUGCUCAGGUCAUAUCUCCUGGCUCAUGAGUUUGUUGAGCCCUGCAUUGGGCUCUGCACUGACACUAUGGACCCUACUUGGGAUUCCUUCUCUCCUUGUCUCUCUCUCUGCCAUUCUCCCUCUCUCAAAAAUCAAUAAUAAACAUUUUUAAGGAAAUGAUCAGGAAAUAGCCCACCAGCUGCUAAGUUAUCAGACGAGAAGAUUCAGGAAGGGUGCAGAGAAAGCUGGGAUGCUGCCCAAGAUGGGCGGUUGUGAUGAUACAGCUGUUUCAGCUGGAAAAGCAGGACUGGGCUUCACUGUGGGAGCUGAGGAAGAUUAUGCUGGGAAGAAAUUGCACACAGGCGCUAUUAGCCUGGCGGAGGCCAUGGUCCACUCACCAACCUACCCAUCACUGCCCCUUCACGAGAAAGGGAAAGUUUCAGGUCAUUGGAUUUCCCUGGAGAUGAGAGAGUUAUGGAUGUGUAAUGUGGCAGCAAUGAUGGGGGACCUGGAGGACAGACCUGCAUCCAGUGUCCUUCUUACAGUGGGCUCCAGGGCUGGACACCUGAGGACGGUAGUAGGGCAAGGAAGGCCCCUCCCAGGGGGCGCCAGCUCAGGGGUUCUGCCCCGAUUGUGUCUGGGAGAAGAAGUAUAUGAGCAGACACUGGAGAUGCUAGAGCCUCCAAGCUGAUGCAAGCAAAUCCUGGAGGCUGGACAGCGCAGAGCUGGGAAGAUGGUGAAUCACAGCCAGGAAGGAGGUGGGCCCCGUGCUCCCGAAGUCACCCAGAGAAGAAGCAGGAUGCGGACCUUGGAUUUGUUACAGGACAGGAGGAGUUCCGAGCAGGACGCGGCAGAGGGGAGGCUGACCCAGGACGAAGCAAAUCAGGCAAGGACUGCACUGGUGUGAGGAUAUCACUGUCUUAGAUUGGAGCCUGCCACUCUGGGAGUGAUGCCUCUCUCUGGGUCUGGCGUUAUGUUAAUUCUUGCAGAUACAAUGAGAUGAAUGUUGUAAGGCAGACAACUGUCAAAGGAUCUCUCUGUCCCUGUGGUUCUCUUUUCCAAGGCAAUGCUAAGCGACAUUUAGAAAUUCUGCAUACAAAUCAUUACCUGGGAAAGGUGGGGUCCGUGAGCUCUGCCCAGGCCAGGACCCUCAGCAGCUUUGGCUCCCUGGGUCCUAGGAGUAGACAUGUGGGGAGAGGGGCAGUUAUCAACCUUCCACAGCCCUUGGUGACAGGGAACUUGGGGGGCCGCUUCACAGAGGAGGCCACGUGAUGCCCACACCCCUCCUCCUACAUUCCCCAGGGCAGAUAUCCUGGUGCAGUGGUCACCCCCUCUGACAAGUCUUUCACUCCCUUUGGGGCCAUUCCGUGCUGGAAAGCCACUGCCCACUUUCCGACGUCAUUCAAGUCAUUGCUUUCUUUGGUAGAAACAUUGCAGAGAGAGCAAGGACAACAACGUCUAGACACAGAGCGGGGCCCCUCACAGGGACCUGGGGAAGCACUGCAAGUUCUCCUCCUUUGUUACUUGUGUACUGUAGCUUCUUGGAGGGACACUCCGUUCCCUGCAAGGCCAUGCUUACAACAAUAGACAAUAGUGGCAGGUGGCUCUUUCCCCUUGUGUCUCCUGCAAAAGAAAGCCAUCCUGGCAUGGAGGUAUGACACUCCCCAGGCCUUAAAGAGACACCCCCAAGUCUCCCAUGAGUCCCUGCGUCCCAGCUUGCAGGGACUGUCUCCGUUAGGGCCCGAUGUGCCGACUUAAUACAGAGUGACAACCCCUUUCACUCUCAAAAGUGACCUGGUUUCCAUAAUACAUUAGAUGCUACCCCUCCUCUAUUGGCCACGUGUGACCAGGCUGUCGAGAGGCCUCGGACACCUCCCUUUUCUCUGUCACAAUUAAUUUAAGUGGAUGAGAAGAACGCCAAGGCUAUGAAGAGUCAGAAAAGCAAAGUUAAAAAAGAAGCCCCACAGGUACCGUGGCCAAGCAUGGCAUGUGAAGCAUAGGUCCCACACAUGCAGGGACAGAGGAAGGAAUGAGGAACAGUUUCAUGAAUUUAAAAUGAGAAAGACAGUGAUACCUACCUGAGAUACUGUCGUGUUUGAGAAAUAAAAAUUUGGUCAUUCAGAUGAUAAAAAUAUGUGUGGUUUUUAUCUGGUCUUUCACAGUGCCUGCCUCCCAAACCCUUGGAAUUUCCUGAGUGUUGAGAGUGACAGUGGUAUCUUUAGUUAAUGAGGUGAUCUUUGGACCUCACUAAAGAUGGGAGCUGAUCACCAGGAGGACCAGCCACCUGAUCAGAGGAAUGGACCUUUAUUCCCUCCUCCUGACCUCCAGGCAGGGGUCAAGGGCUGGAGGGUUCAAUCAGUCACCAAUGGCCAAGGAUUUCAUUAAUCCUUAUGCAUUGAAGCCUCCAUAAAAACCCAAAAGGGCUGGGCUUGCAGGGCUGCUGGGGUUGGUGAACAUUGGGAAAAUGGUGGGCCUGGAGGGGGCGUGGAAGCCCGUGCUAUCUUCCCAGUCCUUGCCCUAUGUAUCUCCUCAUCUGGCUGUUGAUUUUCGUCCUUUUUCGUAUCCUUUAAUAAACUGGUAAAUGUGA